rnacentral:rRNA from 1 species
GACGAACGCUGGCGGCGUGCUUAACACAUGCAAGUCGAACGGAAAGGCCCUGCUUUUGUGGGGUGCUCGAGUGGCGAACGGGUGAGUAACACGUGAGUAACCUGCCCUUGACUUUGGGAUAACUUCAGGAAACUGGGGCUAAUACCGGAUAGGAGCUCCUGCUGCAUGGUGGGGGUUGGAAAGUUUCGGCGGUUGGGGAUGGACUCGCGGCUUAUCAGCUUGUUGGUGGGGUAGUGGCUUACCAAGGCUUUGACGGGUAGCCGGCCUGAGAGGGUGACCGGCCACAUUGGGACUGAGAUACGGCCCAGACUCCUACGGGAGGCAGCAGUGGGGAAUAUUGCACAAUGGGCGGAAGCCUGAUGCAGCAACGCCGCGUGCGGGAUGACGGCCUUCGGGUUGUAAACCGCUUUCGCCUGUGACGAAGCGUGAGUGACGGUAAUGGGUAAAGAAGCACCGGCUAACUACGUGCCAGCAGCCGCGGUGAUACGUAGGGUGCGAGCGUUGUCCGGAUUUAUUGGGCGUAAAGGGCUCGUAGGUGGUUGAUCGCGUCGGAAGUGUAAUCUUGGGGCUUAACCCUGAGCGUGCUUUCGAUACGGGUUGACUUGAGGAAGGUAGGGGAGAAUGGGAUUCCUGGUGGAGCGGUGGAAUGCGCAGAUAUCAGGAGGAACACCAGUGGCGAAGGCGGUUCUCUGGGCCUUUCCUGACGCUGAGGAGCGAAAGCGUGGGGAGCGAACAGGCUUAGAUACCCUGGUAGUCCACGCUGUAAACGGUGGGUACUAGGUGUGGGGUCCAUUCCACGGGUUCCGUGCCGUAGCUAACGCUUUAAGUACCCCGCCUGGGGAGUACGGCCGCAAGGCUAAAACUCAAAGGAAUUGACGGGGCCCCGCACAAGCGGCGGAGCAUGCGGAUUAAUUCGAUGCAACGCGUAGAACCUUACCUGGGUUUGACAUGGAUCGGGAGUGCUCAGAGAUGGGUGUGCCUCUUUUGGGGUCGGUUCACAGGUGGUGCAUGGCUGUCGUCAGCUCGUGUCGUGAGAUGUUGGGUUAAGCCCCGCAACGAGCGCAACCCUUGUUCACUGUUGCCAGCACGUUAUGGUGGGGACUCAGUGGAGACCGCCGGGGUCAACUCGGAGGAAGGUGGGGAUGACGUCAAGUCAUCAUGCCCCUUAUGUCCAGGGCUUCACGCAUGCUACAAUGGCUGGUACAGAGAGUGGCGAGCCUGUGAGGGUGAGCGAAUCUCGGAAAGCCGGUCUCAGUUCGGAUUGGGGUCUGCAACUCGACCUCAUGAAGUCGGAGUCGCUAGUAAUCGCAGAUCAGCAACGCUGCGGUGAAUACGUUCCCGGG